GGAAUGCUUUACACAUGCAAGUCGAACGGCAGCACGGGGGCAACCCUGGUGGCGAGUGGCGAACUGGUGAGUAAUACAUCGGAACGUGCCCAGUCGUGGGGGAUAACGUAGCGAAAGCUACGCUAAUACCGCAUACGAACUCUGGUUGAAAGCGGGGGAUCGCAAGACCUCGCGCGAUUGGAGCGGCCGAUGGCAGAUUAGGUAGUUGGUGGGGUAAAGGCUCACCAAGCCGACGAUCUGUAGCCGGUCUGAGAGGACGACCAGCCACACUGGGACUGAGACACGGCCCAGACUCCUACGGGAGGCAGCAGUGGGGAAUUUUGGACAAUGGGCGCAAGCCUGAUCCAGCCAUUCCGCGUGCAGGAUGAAGGCCCUCGGGUUGUAAACUGCUUUUGUACGGAACGAAAAGCGCUGAGUUAAUACCUUGGCGUCAUGACGGUACCGUAAGAAUAAGCACCGGCUAACUACGUGCCAGCAGCCGCGGUAGUACGUAGGGUGCAAGCGUUAAUCGGAAUUACUGGGCGUAAAGCGUGCGCAGGCGGUUAUGUAAGACAGGUGUGAAAUCCCCGGGCUUAACCUGGGAACUGCAUUUGUGACUGCAUAGCUAGAGUACGGUAGAGGGGGAUGGAAUUCCGCGUGUAGCAGUGAAAUGCGUAGAUAUGCGGAGGAACACCGAUGGCGAAGGCAAUCCCCUGGACCUGUACUGACGCUCAUGCACGAAAGCGU
rnacentral:rRNA from 1 species